UAAGUUUCCUGUUUUUAUCAAAUUUGUUCCUCGCCCUUUAUACUGGUUUAGUUCAUCAACGAGGUACUCUUGAUGUCAUGAGUCAUAUUCAAAAAGUUUGUUACAACAAUCCCAAUAAAUCUUCAGCUUCAAUAUUUAUAAUGAUGCCUUGCCACUCUACUCCUUAUUACAGGCCGGGCGCCGUGGCUCACGCCUGUAAUCCCAGUACUUUGGGAGGCCGAGGCGGGUGGAUCACAAGGUCAGAAGAUCGAGACCAUCCUGGCUAAGCUGGGUGAAACCCCGUCUCUACUAAAAAUACAAAGAAUUAGCCGGGCGUGGUGGCAGGUGCCUGUAGUUCCAGCUACUCGGGAGGCUGAGGCAGGAGAAUGGCAUGAACCCAGGAGGCGGAGUUUGCAGUGAGCCGAGAUUGCACCAGGUGCACUCCAGCCUGGGCAACAGAGCAAGACUCUGUCUCC
rnacentral:lncRNA from 1 species